rnacentral:rRNA from 1 species
AUUGGAGAGCUUGCUUUCCAUGAGAGUGGCGCACGGGUGUGUAACACGUAUGUAACCUACCCAUAUCAGGGGGAUAGCCUCUCGAAAGAGAGAUUAAGCCCGCAUAAAAUCACAGCAUAGCAUUAUGUAAUGAUCAAAUAUUUAUAGGAUAUGGAUGGGCAUGCGGAACAUUAGCUAGUUGGUAAGGUAACGGCUUACCAAGGCUACGAUGUUUAGGGGAUCUGAGAGGAUGACCCCCCACACUGGUACUGAGACACGGACCAGACUCCUACGGGAGGCAGCAGUAAGGAAUAUUGGUCAAUGGGCGCAAGCCUGAACCAGCCAUGCCGCGUGCAGGAAGACGGCCCUAUGGGUUGUAAACUGCUUUUGCAGGGGAAUAAACCUACCAACGUGUUGGUAGCUGAAUGUACUCUGAGAAUAAGGAUCGGCUAACUCCGUGCCAGCAGCCGCGGUAAUACGGAGGAUCCAAGCGUUAUCCGGAUUUAUUGGGUUUAAAGGGUGCGUAGGCGGCCUAUUAAGUCAGGGGUGAAAGACGGUAGCUUAACUAUCGCAGUGCCUUUGAUACUGAUGGGCUUGAAUAUACUUGAGGUAGGCGGAAUGUGACAAGUAGCGGUGAAAUGCAUAGAUAUGUCACAGAACACCAAUUGCGAAGGCAGC